GACGAACGCUGGCGGCGUGCUUAACACAUGCAAGUCGAGCGAGAAACCUUCGGGUUUCUAGCGGCGGACGGGUGAGUAACACGUGGGUAACCUGCCUCAAAGAGGGGGAUAGCCUUCCGAAAGGAAGAUUAAUACCGCAUAAUAUUACAGUUUCGCAUGAAGCAGUAAUUAAAGGAGUAAUCCGCUUUGAGAUGGACCCGCGGCGCAUUAGCUAGUUGGAGAGGUAACGGCUCACCAAGGCAACGAUGCGUAGCCGACCUGAGAGGGUGAUCGGCCACAUUGGAACUGAGACACGGUCCAGACUCCCACGGGAGGCAGCAGUGGGGAAUAUUGCACAAUGGGCGAAAGCCUGAUGCAGCAACGCCGCGUGAGUGAUGAAGGUCUUCGGAUUGUAAAGCUCUGUCUUUUGGGACGAUAAUGACGGUACCAAAGGAGGAAGCCACGGCUAACUACGUGCCAGCAGCCGCAGUAAGAC
rnacentral:rRNA from 1 species